AUUGAACGCUGGCGGCAGGCCUAACACAUGCAAGUCGAACGAGUGGCGGACGGGUGAGUCAUGUCUGGGCAACUGCCCGAUGGAGGGGGAUAACUACUGGAAACGGUAGCUAAUACCGCAUACCAUCGGAUGUUCCCAGAUGGGAUUAGCUAGUAGGUGGGGUAACGGCUCACCUAGGCGACGAUCCCUAGCUGGUCUGAGAGGCGGACCAGCCACACUGGAAAUGAGACACGGCCCAGACUCCUACGGGAGGCAGCAGUGGGGAAUAUUGCACAAUGGGCGCAAGCCUGAUGCAGCCAUGCCGCGUGUAUGAAGAAGGCCUUAGGGUUGUAAAGUACUUUCAGCGAGGAGGCGUUACGCGCAGAAGAAGCACCGGCUAACUCCGUGCCAGCAGCCGCGGUAAUUC
rnacentral:rRNA from 1 species